rnacentral:rRNA from 1 species
AGUGAACGCUGGCGGUAGGCCUAACACAUGCAAGUCGAACGGCAACACAGUAAGAGCUUGCUCUUACGGUUGGCGAGGGGCGGACGGGUGAGGAAUACAUCGGAAUCCUCUUUUUCGGGGGGGAUAACGUAGGGAAACUUACACUAAUACCACAUACGACCUACGGGUGAAAGCAAGGGUUAUUCGGACCUUGCGCGAUUGAUAGAGCCGGUUUCGGAUUGGCUAGUUGGUGGGGUAAAGGCACACCAAGGCGACGAUACGUAGCUGAGCUGAGAGGAUGAUCGGCCACACUGGAACUGAGACACGGUCCAGACUCCUACGGGAGGCAGCAGUAGGGAAUAUUGGACAAUGGGCGCAAGCCUGACCCAGCAAUGCCGCGUGAGUGAUGAAGGUCUUCGGGUCGUAAAGCCCUUUUGUUGGGAAAGAACAGAUGUAGAUUUAUAUCCCGAUGUUUUGACGGUACCCAAUGAGAAAGCCCCGGCUAACUUCGUG